GCAACUUCAAAGAAUAUAGAAACUUCACCAUCUCUCAGUACAGUUAGACUUUCGGAUUUUGUCAGUGAUGUCAUAAGCCCUGCCAUGACCUUGUCAUCAGAGUCUUCAACACAUGCACCCACUGACCUGGAAACUACACGUGAAACCACUCAUUCAGCUACUACAAGUUCAAAACCCACUGGGGAUAAGACUACAACUUCACUACAUGAAAGUUCUUCUGCCCUUCUGACCACACGUAGAAUAUCUACAUUGUCCCCUGAGAAUGUGACUUCAAGGCCAACUACAAACCCAUCUCUAGUGCCCUUCACCCUCAAUUUCACUAUAACCAACCUGCACCAUACAGAG
rnacentral:lncRNA from 1 species